CCCAGACUCCUACGGGAGGCAGCAGUGAGGAAUAUUGGUCAAUGGGCUUACGCCUGAACCAGCCAAGCCGCGUGAGGGAAGAAGGUACAGCGUAUCGUAAACCUCUUUUGUCAGGGAACAAAGGCGGGGACUAGUCCCCGGAUGAGGGUACCUGAAGAAAAAGCAUCGGCUAACUCCGUGCCAGCAGCCGCGGUAAUACGGAGGAUGCGAGCGUUAUCCGGAUUUAUUGGGUUUAAAGGGUGCGCAGGCGGCCUGUAAGGUCAGGGGAAACAGCCGGGGCCUCAACCCCGGCGAGCCGUUGAAACUGGCGGGCUGGAGUUGGAGAGAAGUACGCGGAAUGCGCGGUGUAGCGGUGAAAUGCUUAGAUAUCGCGCAGAACUCCGAUUGCGAAGGCAGCAUACCGGCGCCCAACUGACGCUGAAGCACGAAAGCGUGGGUAUCGAACAGGAUUAGAUACCCUAGUA
rnacentral:rRNA from 1 species